CAUGCAAGUCAAGGAGAACAUUUCCUUCGGGAAAUUAUUAAACUGGCGAACGGGUGAGUAACACGUAGGCAACCUGCCUUGGAGAUUGGGAUAACCCCGGGAAACCGGGACUAAUACCGAAUAAUGCAGCGACUUCUUUGGAAGAUGUUGUUAAAGCGGGCUUCGGCUCGCACUUCAAGAUGGGCCUGCGUCCGAUUAGCUUGUUGGUAAGGUAACGGCUUACCAAGGCGAUGAUCGGUAGCUGGUCUGAGAGGAUGAUCAGCCACACUGGGAUUGAGAUACGGCCCAGACUCCUACGGGAGGCAGCAGUAGGGAAUUUUGCGCAAUGGACGAAAGUCUGACGCAGCAACGCCGCGUGAUCGAUGAAGCUUCUAGGAGUGUAAAGAUCUGUCGUGAGGGAAGAAAAAUUUGGAUGUAAAUAAUGUUCAAACUUGACGGUACCUCACAAGAAAGCACCGGCUAACUUCGUGCCAGCAGCCGCGGUAAUACGAGGGGUGCUAGCGUUGUCCGGAAUAACUGGGCGUGAAGGGUCCGUAGGCGUUUUACCAAGUUGAUCGUUAAAGCCACCGGCUCAACCGGUGAUCUGCGAUCAAAACUGGUAGAAUAGAAUAUGUGAGGGGAAUGUGGAAUUCCUGGUGUAGCGGUGACAUGCGUAGAUAUCAGGAGGAACACCAAUGGCGAAGGCAGCAUUCUGGCACAAUAUUGACG
rnacentral:rRNA from 1 species